UACACUCCUGCGGGAGGCAGCAGUGGGGAAUUUUGGACAAUGGGCGAAAGCCUGAUCCAGCCAUGCCGCGUGCAGGAUGAAGGCCUUCGGGUUGUAAACUGCUUUUGUACGGAACGAAACGGCCUUUUCUAAUAAAGAGGGCUAAUGACGGUACCGCAAGAAUAAGCACCGGCUAACUACGUGCCAGCAGCCGCGGUAAUACGUAGGGUGCAAGCGUUAAUCGGAAUUACUGGGCGUAAAGCGUGCGCAGGCGGUUAUGUAAGACAGUUGUGAAAUCCCCGGGCUCAACCUGGGAACUGCAUCUGUGACUGCAUAGCUAGAGUACGGUAGAGGGGGAUGGAAUUCCGCGUGUAGCAGUGAAAUGCGUAGAUAUGCGGAGGAACACCGAUGGCGAAGGCAAUCCCCUGGACCUGUACUGACGCUCAUGCACGAAAGCGUGGGGAGCAAACAGGAUUAGAAACCCUGGUAGUCCCAU
rnacentral:rRNA from 1 species